AUUGCUGAUUGGGCACUGGCCUUUCACUAAUCGCUUUUGCAAUUCUUUAAACCUUUAUUAUUAUUAUUUGCUAACGAAAUUUAUAUGGAAUGUGUUGCAUGACAGAUAACCAACAUGGAGGAAGCCCUUAUCCUAGAAGUGUAGGAAAAUCCAAUCCUGUAUGACAAGAGAUUGGAGAUGUUAAAGGAUACAGAAGUAAAAAAAUUAUGUAUGACAUGACAUUGGGCGUCAGCUUGUAAUCUCAGGUGACGUAGCGAGUUGAGAGACAACUUCCUAAAAACGACAGAAAUGGAGAGGAAGAGUGGUGACGGAUCUCCCUCAAAUGCAGCACGUAAAUACAAGUACAGUGAGGCAAUGGAAUUCCUACUUCCCCACAUACAUAAUCGAGAAACAAGUUUUGGAUCUUGGAUCCUGUGUUUGAUGUGGACACGCCAGGAGAAGCCUGUACCAAACAGGAAGAAACUGAGCAGGAGAAUGGUGACAUCUGUCCACAACGUGGGUCAGGCUUCAUCGUCAUCGUCCUCAGGCACGUCCGCAACAUCAGUCCAGUCUUCAAGUCCCAAAUUCACUUCAAAUCGAGGAGACAAUGUUGCAGUAUUUUCAAAGCAGCGAUAGUCAUGGUGACAACAUAACUGUAGAUCCAUUUUUUUCCAGCUUGUCCCCCAUUGUCCCACACUGUAAAAGUUACCUCAAUGCCAGCUCCAUUGCAAUGCGGUUAAAUGUUGGUCUUCUGAACAUUGAACAUACUACUAUAGGAAUUAAAAGUUCUGUGUCUUCUAAAUCUAAGUCGAUUCCUAUUGAUGUGAUAAACGUCUCACAUGUUACAAUUUAAGAAUCCAAAUAUGUUAAGUAGAUUAAAAAAAAAAAUUAACAGAAAAUGUUCUAACUUGCUAUGCUCCAUCGCUAAAAAGAGAGCUGAUAUCUUAUUCCCUCUGACGUCACUCAAUAUUCAUCUGAUUGUUAGCUAACAAAGGGACAGUCAGUGGUUUGUAGUUUGCCAGAGCUAACAACCUGUUAAUAGUCUCAACAUAAAAGAUGCAAUGUCAGACAUGCAGCAUCACCAACAAAUGGAAAGCGAUGUAUAUAUGAUUACAUCUGAAUGACUUAUGAUAAAUCCAUAUGAAAUAAAUCAUUUGCAGGAAAUCUACAACUUUAAUGACUGAUAUCGUAUUAUAAACAACUACACCAUAAAUGUGCUAUUCUAAUUUCCACUUGAAUUUUUCACUUUAACGUCUCUCAUUGUUACAGUUGCAAGUCAGUCUCAAUUUGCAGAAAUUACGAUUGUAAAGGAUUAUGAUCUUCCUCUUUUGUAGAUCUGGGAAAUAUCGGCUGAA